rnacentral:rRNA from 1 species
GACGAACGCUGGCGGCGUGCCUAAUACAUGCAAGUAGAACGCACAGUUUAUACCGUAGCUUGCUACACCAUAGACUGUGAGUUGCGAACGGGUGAGUAACGCGUAGGUAACCUGCCUGGUAGCGGGGGAUAACUAUUGGAAACGAUAGCUAAUACCGCAUAAUAUUAAUUAUUGCAUGAUAAUUAAUUGAAAGGUGCAAUUGCACCACUACCAGAUGGACCUGCGUUGUAUUAGCUAGUAGGUGAGGUAACGGCUCACCUAGGCGACGAUACAUAGCCGACCUGAGAGGGUGAUCGGCCACACUGGGACUGAGACACGGCCCAGACUCCUACGGGAGGCAGCAGUAGGGAAUCUUCGGCAAUGGACGAAAGUCUGACCGAGCAACGCCGCGUGAGUGAAGAAGGGUUUCGGAUCGUAAAGCUCUGUUGUAAGAGAAGAACGGGUGUGAGAGUGGAAAGUUCACACUGUGACGGUAUCUUACCAGAAAGGGGCGGCUAACUACGUG